rnacentral:rRNA from 1 species
UACGUAGGGUGCAAGCGUUGUCCGGAAUUAUUGGGCGUAAAGAGCGUGUAGGCGGCCCGACCAGUCCGCUGUGAAAGUCCAGGGCUCAACCCUGGAAUGCCGGUGGAUACUGUCGGGCUAGAGUCCGGAAUGGGCGAGUGGAAUUCCUGGUGUAGCGGUGAAAUGCGCAGAUAUCAGGAGGAACACCGGUGGCGAAGGCGGAUCUCUGGGCCAUUACUGACGCUGAGGAGCGAAAGCGUGGGGAGCGAACAGG